rnacentral:rRNA from 1 species
CGGGAGGCAGCAGUGAGGAAUCUUGCACAAUGGGGGAAACCCUGAUGCAGCGACGCCGCGUGAGCGAUGAAGCCCUUCGGGGUGUAAAGCUCUUUCGGCAGGGAAGAUGAUGACGGUACCUGCAGAAGCAGCUGCGGCUAACUACGUGCCAGCAGCCGCGGUAAUACGUAGGCAGCAAGCGUUGUUCGGAGUUACUGGGCGUAAAGGGUGCGUAGGCGGUUGUUUAAGUUUGGUGUGAAAUCUCCCGGCUCAACUGGGAGGGUGCGCCGAAUACUGAAUGACUAGAGUGCGGGAGAGGAGAGUGGAAUUCCUGGUGUAGCGGUGAAAUGCGUAGAUAUCAGGAGGAACACCGGCGGUGUAGACGGCUCUCUGGACCGCAACUGACGCUGAGGCACGAAAGCGUGGGUAGCAAACAGGAUUAGAUACCCGGGUAGUCCC